GACUUUGAGAGUUCCGCUUAUGGCUGCAGGGUCAACCAAUUUGUUGUUGGGACCCUGGAGCUGAAUGGCUUUCCUGUCUGUCGAUCCUUGGCUCAGCCCAGAAGUACAGGAAAAGCGGAAGCUGGUUCCAGACAAACCAACGCUCUCAACUCUGAAGAGUCAGGAGUUGUUAGAGAGCCUUUUCUCAGAAAGCCUGACACCCGUGUCUUUAGUCUGGCAUCCAUGCUAGUCACUUUUAACUGGCCAAUAGGUGCCUGGUAUUUAGUCCCCAAAUUCUAAGGAAAAAUAAGACAGAAUAGCAAGCAAAAGGGGUCUGAUGGUACUCACCACUUGGUGAUAGGCGACAGUCCCAUCUGGGUCACCAAAAUAUGUCUGGAAUUGGUUCCUUCCAGUGGGUUCUUGGUCUCACUGACUUCAAGAAUGAAGCCGCGGACCCUCGCACAUGAUUGUGAGGCCUCCCCACCCACAUGGAAUGGAACAAUGGUUCAGGAUUCACUAAUUCAGUAUUAGCAGCAACUUUACGGAACAAAACUACUGUGGAUAAUGAGAAUUCACUGCGCCCGUUGUUUAAACAGUUAACAGCAGUCACUUUAGUGCCUUUUGUAGAGACAGAGCACUAUGUGAAGAUUGUGCCUGCUUCCUCUUUGCCUUCCACCAUGAUUGGAAGUUUCCUGAGACCUUCCCAGCAGCAGAAGCCUAUACAGUCUGCAGAACUAGUUCCCCAGCUAUCCCCCAGUGGCUUGGAGAUUCCCAUUUCAAGAGUGUAGAGUUCUACCCAGAAGGUGGCUGCGUGGACAGUGACUACAUUCUCAGCUCCAUGCCUAUUUGGAUGGUCUGAGGCCUUCACUCCUCACCCUUCCUGGAUGUGGUUGCGCCAGAGGGGAUGAUUUAGUGAGCAGAUGGUACCAGGAAAACCAAGGGUAUUGCAUCCAGCUGUGUGUACACAGAUUGGUGAAUUCAAGCCUCUGAUCUAGGAUCUGAAAUAAAAAUCAGAAUAAGCGAAAAGA
ensembl:lncRNA LINC02932 long intergenic non-protein coding RNA 2932